GUUUAUGUAGCUUAAACCCGCACAAAGCAAGACACUGAAAAUGCCUAGAUGGGUUCACACACCCCAUAAAC
rnacentral:tRNA from 1 species